ACCUAGUCCCACCACACCCCUAAGGGUAUUCAGCAGUGAUAGAUAUUGUCUAUAAGCGCUAGCUUGACCCAGUUAUAGAGAAGAGAGCCGGCCAACUUGGUGCCAGCCGCCGCGGCUAGACCAACUGGACUCAAAUUGAUAAUCCCCGGCGUUAAGCGUGAUUAAAGCCAUGAACAAAUUAGAGUUAAACCUACGUUGAGCAGUGAAAAGCACACGAUAGGGAAAUCCAAAAACGAAAGUUAUUCUAAUCCUUGCUUGAAUACACGACAGCUAGGACACAAACUGGGAUUAGAUACCCCACUAUGCCUAGCCGUAAACUAUUAACCUACACCCACCCGCGCCAGGGAACUACGAGCUUUAGCUUAAAACCCAAAGGACUUGACGGUGUCCCACCCAACUAGAGGAGCCUGUUCUAUAAUCGAUGACCCCCGCUCCACCCAACCCCCCCUUGCUUUAUCAGCCUGUAUACCUCCGUCGUAAACCCGCCGUAUGAAUGUACCCAAGCGGAUUUAAUGGUCCCACACCAACACGUCAGGUCAAGGUGCAGCCAAUGGGAGAGGUAAGUGAUGGGCUACAAUUUCUAGUCUAGAACAAACGAAAUUCUGCAUGAAACACAGUUAUGAAGGAGGAUUUAGUAGUAAAAAGAAAGUAGCGUGUUCUUUUUAACAUGGCCCUGGGACGUGUACACA
rnacentral:rRNA from 1 species